rnacentral:rRNA from 1 species
AUUGAACGCUGGCGGCAGGCCUAACACAUGCAAGUCGAACGAGUGGCGGACGGGUGAGUAAUGUCUGGGAAACUGCCCGAUGGAGGGGGCUAACUACUGGAAACGGUAGCUAAUACCGCAUACCAUCGGAUGUGCCCAGAGGGGAGUAGCUAGUAGGUGGGGUAAUGGCUCACCUAGGCGACGAUCCCUAGCUGGUCUGAGAGGCGGACCCGCCACGCUGUACCUGUGACACGGUCCAGACUCCUACGGGAGGCAGCAGUGGGGAAUAUUGCAAAAUGUGCGCAAGCCUGAUGCAGCCAUGCCGCGUGUAUGAAGAAGGCCUUCGGGUUGUAAAGUACUUUCAGCGGGGAGUCGUUACCCGCAGAAGAAGCACCGGCUAACUCCGUGCCAGCAGCCGCGGUAAUUC